AUUUUAGGNUUUUCUGCUCAUGAAAUUUAAAUGGCCGCAGUACUUUGACUGUGCUAAGGUAGCAUAAUCAAUUGUCUUUUAAUUGGAGACUAGAAUGAAUGAAUUUAUGGUUAAAUUCUUUAUUUAUAUAUUUUAUUAAAAUUUAUUUAUUAGGUGAAAAUACCUAAAAUAAUUUAUUAGACGAGAAGACCCCAGGAAUUUAAUUUUUUUUUAUUGGGGCGAUAUCUAAACAUUAACAAAAUAACUUUAGAUUUUAUUAAAUAAAACGAAGAUUUUUUAAUUAAAAAUAAAUUACCCUGGGGAUAACAGCAUAAUUUUUUAUAAAGAUUGUGACCUCGAUGUUGGAUUAGAAAAAAAUUUUACUUAAAGAGUAAUUUUUUAUGUUCUGUUCGAACAAUAAUAAUUUUUCUACGUGAUCUGAGUUCCAACC
rnacentral:rRNA from 1 species